CCUACGUGAGGCAGCAGUGAGGAAUAUUUGUCAAUGGACGAGAGUCUGAACCCGCCAAGUAGCGUGAAGGAUGACUGCCCUAUGGGUUGUCACCUUCUUUUAUCUGGGAAUAAAAUGUUCCACGUGUGGGAUUUUGUAUGUACCAUAUGAAUAAGGAUCGGCUAACUCCGUGCCAGCAGCCGCGGUACUACGGAGGAUCCGAGCGUUAUCCGGAUUUAUUGGGUUUAAAGGGAGCGUAGGUGGAUUGUUAAGUCAGUUGUGAAAGUUUGCGGCUCAACCGUAAAAUUGCAGUUGAAACUGGCAGUCUUGAGUACAGUAGAGGUGGGCGGAAUGCGUGGUGUAGCGGUGAAAUGCUUAGAUAUCACGAAGAACUCCGAUUGCGAAGGCAGCUCACUGGACUGCAACUGACACUGAGGCUCGAAAGUGUGGGUAUCAAACAGGAUUAGAGACCCCAGUAGUC
rnacentral:rRNA from 1 species